GAAUGCAACUUGGGUUUGAUAGCAUACAGAUUGAACUUGUGCAGUUACGGGUAUGGUAGCAUUUUGUUGCUUUGCUACAGUCUGUGUAUUGCAUUGUUCUUCGUCAUCUGUGAUGCUGCUACCCGAAUCAAUUUGUAACAUUAUUGUGCCAGCAUACUGUUCCUUUGAUUCAAUUAGGACUGUGUUGGAAUUUUACAAGUUUGGCUUGGGAUUUUCAAAUUGAUGAGUUUUCAAACCCACAGAAAUAGUGAGUUUUGAAUUUCCUUGAAACUUUGAAUCCACCAAUGAGGUGUGGAUCUACUAUUACACCUCAGGUUUGAAUGAACCAAGGGUUUUGUGGAUCUGGAUUAAGGCUUGAUCCAGCCAAUGUGGUGCCAGAGGUUUAAGGUUUCGGGUUCCUGUCUAGCUCACUUUUUCGUGGUAAUGGUUCAGGUGCCUCCUCGGAGGCUUGAAAGCUGGAGCUAGAAAUGGGGAAGACGGUUAGGGGGCCAGCAUUUCUUUGACACAUCGUUGAUCCUGGUUUUGUGCAGGAAAUCUUGAUUGGUUCUUGUCUUUAUUUCGACUCUUUCUCAUUGCAUAUUGAUUAGGUUUUCUUAUGUUCUUCAUUUCUUAUGCAUCUUUGCCCUGCUUGGCUUCUGUGCUUGUUGCAACUCCUUUUUGGUCCUUGGCAUUAGUUGGGCAGAAAUCUUGUUAGUGACCCCUAGAGAAAUAAAUAACACACCUUUGAGAUUCUCUUGUAUAUUAGUUCUGAUAGAAUCAGUCUUGGACGGUAGGAUUGGAGCCUCCAAGUAAGUUUAUUUUUCUAGUUGAUUCUGAUAAACACUUGGUAUUGGUUGUUCGUUAUUCCAUUUGGUUGUUCGUUAAUCCAGCCCACCUAGAUAACUUUGGAAUAGAUCAGUCCACCAUUACCAGAAUUGGUAAGGAUUUGUUGAGAUGGAGCCAGGCUGGAUUUCAGACAAUCCUAUUGUUUCCUCAGUCCAUGGAGAUUCGCUUUCCCAUAGCAGCAGCAAUACAACCCAAAUAUUGAGAAGAUCAACUGUAGUAUGAUAGAUCUGGUAAGCAAACCCAUAUUGGGCUGGAUUUGAGUUCAAGAAUUUGAGCAAGUUUACCUCCAUUCCAUCUCUGGAAGAGCAGGUAAUGGCUGCAACGCCAGGCCCCCCCACUUGUCACUUUUAUAGGUUUGUCCCUGUUUGAGAACUUGAAAAGAAUGUGAGAAUUUCAUUUAAGGAUGAUGUCAAUGUGUACAUCUCUCCAAGAAGCAUUCCUUCAAACAGUUCCUGAAUUCAUCCAUUGUGUGUUGAACCUCUUCUUUGUCUUGGAGUAAUGUGAUUUUGCCUUUCAAUGCAUAAAAAGCAAAUCUUGAGAACCCCAUAUUCGGAGUCAAAGUCAAAAAGUAGGCCCCAGGUCAAAGCAUUCGGAAUUGGCAGAAGACUUAGUAGUUGUAACAAUGGGGAUUUAGGGAUGUGGCCUCAAUUGACAUUGACCUGGCCUUCCCUCUCUCCUACUUGCCAGUAAGGAUACUUCU
rnacentral:lncRNA from 1 species